UGCCAGACUCCUACGGGAGGCAGCAGUGGGGAAUUUUGGACAAUGGGCGCAAGCCUGAUCCAGCUAUUCCGCGUGUGGGAUGACGGCCCUCGGGUUGUAAAGUACUUUCAGUCGGGAGGAAGGUGGUAAGGUUAAUAACCUUAUCAAUUGACGUUACCGACAGAAGAAGCACCGGCUAACUCCGUGCCAGCAGCCGCGGUAAUACGGAGGGUGCAAGCGUUAAUCGGAAUUACUGGGCGUAAAGCGCACGCAGGCGGUCUGUCAAGUCGGAUGUGAAAUCCCCGGGCUCAACCUGGGAACUGCAUUCGAAACUGGCAGGCUGGAGUCUUGUAGAGGGGGGUAGAAUUCCAGGUGUAGCGGUGAAAUGCGUAGAGAUCUGGAGGAAUACCGGUGGCGAAGGCGGCCCCCUGGACAAAGACUGACGCUCAGGUGCGAAAGCGUGGGGAGCAAACAGGAUUAGAUACCCUAGUAGUA
rnacentral:rRNA from 1 species